UACGGGGGGGGCAAGCGUUGUUCGGAAUUACUGGGCGUAAAGGGUUCGUAGGUGGCCAACUAAGUCAGACGUGAAAUCCCUCAGCUUAACUGGGGGAACUGCGUCUGAGACUGGAUGGCUUGAGUGCAGGAGAGGAACGCGGAAUUCCAGGUGUAGCGGUGAAAUGCGUAGAUAUCUGGAGGAACACCGGUGGCGAAGGCGGCGACCUGGUCCAUUACUGACGCUGAGGCGCGACAGCGUGGGGAGCAAACAGG
rnacentral:rRNA from 1 species